CAACCUCAGAUUCUGGAGCUGGUGUUCUGGCUGAUCAACAAAUGCCAGGACACUGAGUCACCUCCAGCUGGACGCAUGCCCAGGAACACGUGAGGAACCCAGGCCACUACCAGCCACUGUCAGCUGAGACCAGCCUGGGUCACCUUCCCCUGUCCUGCUCAGAGGCAGACCGAAACCUGACAAGCAUGUUUUCACCAACCUGAGAGUUUCGGCCUCUCUUUGGGGACUGUUUGUGUUUCAGGUCACGCUGUCAGCUGCCCCCACCCUCAUCUUUCCUCUGCCAAAGUGACAUUCCCCUGGCUGCCAGGCUUCCAGGAACCUGGCGGUUCCUGUCCUGAGCUGCCCAGUGGGAAUCUCCUUUUCCGAUUCCAGGAACUUCAAUAUCCUCUGUUACAUUUCAGAACCUCAUCAUAGCCCAGCAAAUGGGAGGUGCAGCCUUCAUCUUACAGACACAAGGCCCAGCAAGGGACGGCAACUUGCCCAAGGUCACACAGCAAGUUAGGGGCUAGGAUAACCCGAAAACUGACCCCCAGUCCAGCAUCCACUUCAUCCACCCUCCAAACUCAACCGCCAGACAGGGAUCAGACCUGCAGCAAUCCCUCCAUUCAUUCAUUAACAAACACAGAAACUUAACUGGCACCAGCUACAGAGGGUUGGCCUUUGACCAAACCCUGCCCAUUGCCUGUUUUUGUAAAUAAAAUUUUGCUGGAACACAGCCACUCCCAUCCAUCUGCGUUUGUAGUCCACCCUUAUCCACAGUUUCCCUUUCCGCGCUUUCAGUAUCACAGAGGCAUUUUAUCAUCUUACACUAUCACGAGACGAGGAAAGACACCAUGGAUACCAAAAUGCACCAUUUUUCCAAGGCUUAUGCUCCAUCCAGAUGGUCAAUGCCUUACAGAUUUACAGUUUGGAGUCUCUCAAUUGCAGCCCAGAGGCACUCAUGGUUUUCAUUGCAGGACUCUGUAUUUUCAGGUUAUGGAAAAGGUACAGAGAUAUAACACAGCUGAUCUAAUCUGUUGUUCAUGGACAUCUCCUCCAGCCCAGCGCUGAGAAAAGUUUCACACGUUUUAUCAACAGGCUAAUUUUGUUGAGGAGGGAACAGUGGGCCAAAGAAGUCAAGUGAUCUAAGAGCCCAGUCCAGGAGUUAGCUUGAGUUUGAAACCUGCUUCCACCAUCAGAGGUAUCACUGUGUGAGUUUAAUCUCUGUGCCUUGGUUCUAUAAAAUGAUAUUCUACUCACACCUGUAAAAUGAGAAUAACAGUUCCUCUUUCAGUGCUGUGAUAAUUCAGUAAAAUAAGUAUGUGUAAAGUAGCUAACAUUUCAUCUGGCCCAAAUAUUUCCAGUUCAGCUCUGGGACUUCCAUCUUCAUAUUCUUUGUAGUUUGAAUUUCCCAUAAGCAUAAGAUCCAGUAGUCAACACAAACCUUUGCCCAAUAGCUCUUAAGCUUCAGCCUCAGG